UACGGAGGAUGCGAGCGUUAUCCGGAUUUAUUGGGCGUAAAGGGUGCGUAGGCGGGCUGUUAAGUCAGCGGUCAAAUGUCGGGGCUCAACUCCAUCCAGCCGUUGAAACUGAUGAUCUUGAGUGAGCGAGAAGUAUGCGGAAUGCGUGGUGUAGCGGUGAAAUGCAUAGAUAUCACGCAGAACUCCGAUUGCGAAGGCAGCUCACUAGACUGCAACUGACACUGAUGCUCGAAAGUGUGGGUAUCAAACAGG
rnacentral:rRNA from 1 species